UUCCAGCUCCAAUAGCGUAUAUUAAAGUUGUUGCGGUUAAAAAGCUCGUAGUUGGAUUUCUGGAAAGGACGACCGGUCCACCCACUGGGUGAGAACAUGGUUCGGCUCGACCAUUUUCUUGGAGAACGCUGCUGCGCUUCAUUGUGUGGGGUGGCAUCCAGGACUUUUACUUUGAAAAAAUUAGAGUGUUUAAAGCAGGCUUACGCUUGAAUACAUUAGCAUGGAAUAAUAAAAUAGGACUUUGGUUUUAUUUUGUUGGUUUUCGAAACCAAAGUAAUGAUUAAUAGGGAUAGUUGGGGGCAUUAGUAUUGAGCCGUCUGAGGUGAAAUUCUUGGAUUGGCUCAAGACUAACUUCUGCGAAAGCAUUUGCCAAGGAUGUUUUCAUCA
rnacentral:rRNA from 1 species